AUGAAUGCCAGUUCGCCCCAUAUUUCUCGUAGCUGCGCCGGUGCUCGUUGCGAUGCUUGCCGGCACCUGACGCGCAUUACGACCGUAUCAGCCGAGCCGCAUGCCUCUAUCGACGAGGCAGCGGCUUUUUUU
rfam:Mumia flava strain MTSC 201 Contig157, whole genome shotgun sequence.